GCGGAAGCGGCGGCUUGACUGCCUGAGGCUGAGGGAUAUACAUCAGAGGAAACCAAAAGCCAGAUGGAAUAGUUCCUGAAUGAAAUUUUAUUCCUGUUCGCAAUUAUUUCGAAGGGGGAUACCCUCUGGAUCAGAAUUAAAAUGCUCUGGUUUCAAGGAAAUAGCCUGCAGAUUGCCAGAUCCUCCUUUGGACUCUUGAGAAAUCUCUCUGCCUCUAACACGGCUCUGCCUGUGCUGACCUUAUUCACAAAGCACCCAUGCCCCCUAUGUGAUGAAGCUAAAGAAGUGCUCCAGCCUUAUAAAAACAGGUUUAUUUUACAGGAGGUGGACAUCACACUUCCCGAAAAUUCUACUUGGUAUGAAAGGUAUAAAUUUGACAUCCCCGUCUUCCAUUUGAAUGGCCAGUUUCUGAUGAAGCACCGAGUAAAUACCUCAAAGCUUGAAACACAGCUUCUGAAACUUGAGCAGCAGGUGCUGGAGACAAACUGAUGUCUUCUGAUUGAUGCAAGUCCUCGGAUGAGGCGUUUCCUUACAGGCAUCCUGUGAACUAAGAAGAACACAUUGUAGAGCGAGGGAAGCUGUAGGAAUGAAGAAGUCUAUUUGUUGAGUCAAUCUUUCCCCUUUGCGACCGUGGAUGCACCUCUCCUGCACGGGACAGUACCCUGAUAGGAAGCAGGCUCUGCAGUCCGGCUGCCAAGCAGCCCUGGAACCCAACGUCAUGGAGUAAAUGCUCUUACACCAUUAAAGUGGAUUGUGAAUUGUUAAUAGCUGUGCAUAGUUGAGAAAGGGAUGUUUUAAUGAACACAUCUGCAUGUAGCCUAUUUCAGUGGAAUUUAAUAAUACCUGUUUAAAAUUAGCGUUCACUUUUGUUAAGUAGAAUAGAAUAAUUGUCCUAGCCAAAAAGGCUUCACUUCAGAAAGACAAAAGAGGCUUAAACCUACAGACGGUGUAAGCAGACUCAGCUGCACGUCAUCAUGGGAUUGAUUUGUAAUGUUGAGGACAGCAUUGAGUUAUCAUCCGUUAACUCAACUAAUUGUAAAUAGUAACUUUGUCAAAUUUUUGAAUCUUAGAAAAAUUCAUUUUAAUCAUAACUGAACAUAUCUAAGCAUAAAGUAUCAUAUAAAGU
rnacentral:lncRNA from 1 species